CAUGUUGGAGAACUUCAUGAAAGACUGUCUCUCGUGGGUGAGACCCCACACAGGAGCAGAGGAAGAGUGUGAGGAGGAAGGAGCGGCAGAGACAAUGCGUUGUGGACGGACCACAACCCCCAUCCCCUAUCCUACUCUGCCAGUCGGAGAGAGGAGAUAGAGAAGUGUCUAAGAUCUUCAGGACACAGGCUCUUCAUGUAUGCAGUGUUGUGUAAACUGUUGUGUUAUAAACCAGAUGCUCAACGGGAGUAAAUCAGCACUGUGUCAUUAAAGUUCAGCUUUGGAUUGCCAAUUAACUGAAGGAUAGCUACUCAUGGUGGUGCCUCACAAAGCUCUCACAUGACCUGGAUGAGAGCUGUGCAAAAGGUACAAAAGUUUAUCACUGGUGCAACCAGUUCAAAAAUAUCGAUUACAGAAGAGGCAAGACCAGCAGUGGAACGAGCACUGUGUCACUUCACAUCCUUGGCAGAGAGAUGACUUUUAACACCCUAGUUAGAAUUUAAACACACCGGUAACAGGUCAACAGGAGCUCACAGAGGCUGACUCUGAGUCACAAUAUUCCUUAUCUGAUGAUACACAAGUAUUUUGUGUGUGUGUGAGACAAGAUCUUCUGGAUCCCAAUAAUGUAGGUAUUCAGGCAAGUACUGUGUUUCACGUAUGUUUAUCUCAUCUGUCAUCCACGUCCCAGCUGGCUGCUGCUCACUCAACUUCAGCGAAUGAGUGUAAUGGCUUUGAGACUAUGCUAUCUGUGUAUUUU